ACUCAUUGAAGCAAAGCACGAGAGAUCACUUCCGUCAUCGGAACGCAUCUUUUGACCUCACUAACCGGAUGCUGAACACAGUUGGACAUAGUGGUGUAUUAGAGAUUGUGUUACCAUUUCAAUGCAUUAUUUGAGCGACAGACGGCAACAGUUGGAGUUAAAAAUCAUCAUUUGUGUUCUACUGAAGAAACAAAGUCACCUACAUCUUGGAUGCCCUGGGGGUAAGCAGAUAAACAUCAAAUUUUCAUUUUUGGGUAAACUAUCCCUUUAAGGCAACUCAGUAGCAACAAAACUGCUGUGAAAUAUGGCACAAUGAGCUAUGAAGAAAAAAAAAAAAAGAAAAAAGAAAAAGAAAAAAAAGAAUAAAUAAAACAGACGAUUUCUGAAUUUCAUUUUGUACCUUCAAAUGAUGCUCGUCGUUCUUUAGCCAAGCCUCUCUGUAUAGUUUUGAUUCUCCAUGCCAAGUACCCAGUGCCACUCUCACCGUCAUAGUAAUGCUCCUUGAAUAACAAAAAUACAGAAAAAAAAAAAAAAAAAAAAAAAGUGUUAAAUCAAUAGCAAAAUUCACCACCUGUAUUAUGGGUGUGUGAUCAACAUUUAAGACAUGUCAACAUAGAAAUAAAAUUCAAAAAUAGUGUGAUACUUACAUAGCCAUUUUUAGAGAAGGGGUCACUGAGGUAAGGGAACAAAGCCACAAUUCCUCUGGCGUAUUUUUCUUUAACCUGCCGUGGUGGUGAUGUACUGUAUAAUUAUUUAAAAAAAAAAAAAAAAAAAAAAAAAAAAAAACCACCCAUCUUUAGCCCAGGUUCAAAAAGCAAAAGAUGAUAGAACUACAGUGAGAGAUCAUAUAUACACCAGUUAAUUAUAUGCAGAUUACCCAUUCUUUUCUGUCAUGUCAGCUGCCAGGAUGUUCACCAUUUUCCUUCUCGUUUCAUCCCCCAAAGUUUUAGUUCGGUUGUAUUCAUUUAUUACACGCUCCCCACCAGGUUUCUGGACAAGAAUGGAUUCCACCAACUUCAUAAUUAAAAAAAAAAAAAAAAGAAAGAAAUAA